rnacentral:rRNA from 1 species
CGAUUAUUGGGCCUAAGGCGUCCGUAGCCGGACAAUUAAAUCCUCUGUGAAAUCGUCGCGCUUAACGUGACGGCGCGCAGGGGAGACUGGUUGUCUCGAGACCGGGAGGGGUCAGAGGUAUGCCGUGGGGACUGGUAAAAUGGUAUAAUCCACGGUAGACCACCAAUGGCGAAGGCAUCUGACCAGCACGGAUCUGACGGUGAGGGACGAAAGCCAGGGGAGCGAACCGGAUUAGAUACCCGAGUAGUCCUGGCCGUAAACGCUGCGAGCAAGGUGUUGCCUAUCCCAUGAGGAUGGGCAGUGUCGAAAUGAAGAUGCUAAGCUCGCCGCCUGGGAAGUACGGUCGCAAGACUGAAACUUUAAGGAAUUGGCGGGGGAGCACUACAAGGGGUGCGGCGUGCGGUUUAAUCCAACUCAACGCGGAAAACCUCACUAGAAGCGACGGCAGGAUGAAGGCCAGGUUGAAGACUUUGCCCGACGAGCCGAGAGGUAGUGCAUGGCCGCCGUCAGCUCGUGCCGUAAGGUGUCCAGCUAAGUCUGGUAACGAGCGAGACCUGCGCCCACAGUUGCCACCGGGACAUGUCGACCGGGCACACUGUGGGGACUGCCUUCGUAAGGAGGAGGAAGGUGCAGGCAACGGUAGGUCUGUAUGCUCCGAAUCUUCUAGGCUACACGCGCGCAACAAUGGUGGAGACAAUGGGAUGCGACACCGAAAGGUGAAGCUAAACCUCUAAACUCCAUCGUAGUACGGAUCGAGGCUUGCAACCCAGCCUCGUGACGCCGGAAUCCCUAGUAAUCAGCUGUCAUCAUCUG